UUUUAUUUGAGAGUUUGAUCCUGGCUCAGGAUGAACGCUGGCGGCGUGCCUAACACAUGCAAGUUGAGCGAUUUACUUCGGUAAAGAGCGGCGGACGGGUGAGUAACGCGUGGGUAACCUCCCCUGUACACACGGAUAACAUACCGAAAGGUAUGCUAAUACGGGAUAAUAUAUUUGAGAGGCAUCUCUUGAAUAUCAAAGGUGAGCCAGUACAGGAUG
rnacentral:rRNA from 1 species